rnacentral:rRNA from 1 species
CCUACGGGAGGCAGCAGUCGAGAAUCAUUCACAAUGGGGGAAACCCUGAUGGUGCGACGCCGCGUGGGGGAAUGAAGGUCUUCGGAUUGUAAACCCCUGUCAUGUGGGAGCAAAUUAAAAAGAUAGUACCACAAGAGGAAGAGACGGCUAACUCUGUGCCAGCAGACGCGGGAAUACAGAGGUCUCAAGCGUGGUUCGGAAUCACGGGGCGUAAAGCGUGCGGAGGCUGUUUCGUAAGUCGUGUGUGAAAGGCGCGGGCUCAACCCGCGGACGGCACAUGAUACUGCGAGACUAGAGUAAUGGAGGGGGAACCGGAAUUCUCGGUGUAGCAGUGAAAUGCGUAGAUAUCGAGAGGAACACUCGUGGCGAAGGCGGGUUCCUGGACAUUAACGGACGCUGAGGCACGAAGGCCAGGGGAGCGAAAGGGAUUAGAUACCCCAGUAGUC